CAUGACAGGGGACUCCCAGGACAGGCUGUUGCUCCUUCGCAGGGCUGGCAGUACAUGGGCAAGUCACUAGUUCAGCUACCCACAUGCAAACCCAGACUAGGGAGCACUAAUCGAGCCAGCAACUUUAGCAGCGCUGUCCACUGAGGCAGCAUGCACUGAAGCUACUGAGGCAUCGUACUCUGGUGCAGAAUUACAUUGCCUUGUGGAUUCCUGCAUCAUCCCGGGUCAGAAGAAGAAUCGAUGUUUGGCCUGGCUUUUGUACAAGGCAAACGUACUUUGAAGUGCUAACACGCUUAUGGAGAAGCAGAGAUCUUCAGGGACAACGCCUCUCCCUGCCAGCAGGGGGCGUGCAGCCCGCAUCCGGCCAUUGUAGGGGAUGGUGAGGCUGGAAGGGGGGGCACAAAGAGACAGCACCUCUAAGACUGUGCCAUGUUUCACGGUCCUUCGAGUGGCCAGCCAGCUGCCCUGGCCAAGGAGCUGCUGCAAUAAAAUCCCAUCCGGCCGCCGAAACACCGAAUCGAGACUGAAGAAAAAGUGCCAAGCCGAUUCAGCGUGGCUUUUGAAGGGAUCGCAACCCAACACCGGCGCAGACACUUGCUGAUAAUUAGGCUGUCAGCAGGGAAGGAGCGGCUGCUCUCCGAAGGUCAUGGCUCCGUAACAACAAAAUAGCCCAUGAUCGGUGUGGUGAGCGGACAGCAGACAGCAUCGCGGGUCCCUGGGAGCGCCAGCGGACCGCUAAGGAUAGAACAAGCUCCGGAGCCCAGUAGGGCAUCCCGUUUGGACGUGACGGCAAUGCUGAAGGAACAUCAGCUUCCCAGGUGGGGCAUGGGAGGUGAAGGUGUAACGGGAAAUGAGGGAGAGAGAGGCAUGGGGAAAGAAGAACAGCUCCCUUUUUGCAGCUUUCUUCUGGUCCUUUCACUGGAAAGGCAAGUAGAAGAAUAUGGCAGUAGAGCCUUCUGGAGACUCACAGAGUCACAGCCCAAGGGAGUCACAGCCCCAGGGAAUCGCGGUUGUAUUCCGGUGGCGGCGUAUAAGGAGGCAGGAACGGGGCACAGCUGCUGGGACGCGGUUCCACAGAUACUCUGGAUGCUCUGAGGAUUCUUGAGGGCUUUUACAUUUGGAUCAGACUCGCAGCCAAACCUGGCAUCCUAUCAAACCGGCAGCGGGAGUAAGGCGAACAGGCCUGCGAGAAUAGCAGCGUUACAACCACGUAAGUCUCCACAGCGUAAGCCAAACAGCAGGUGCCCGUGGUCCACUUCUCAUUAACUUCUCCGCUCAGCGAGACGGCAGGCCCGGCCUGAUGUUUGUGUGGUGCCACCGAGCCUUUCCCUGAACCAUAGCUACGUCGCCCGCUUCAUAACAUCGAAUAGGCGUCGCCCACCCCGGCUCAGCUUACUCAGAAGCAAUUCAGAUCGACCCAAAGCUCAUAAAACCCACAAACACUGUGGAGAGACCAAAUGUGCUGAAGGUGAGUUCAUCCUUAAUAAUAUUUAGAAAGUCAUGAACAUGGACGGGGUCAGGUGCUCCUUGGGAGAAACAGUGCAUGCUGUUCUUUACUCUACCGCAGUUGUUAAUUACUCUGUUGAAUAAUUAUUUGGACAGAAGCAGAUGUAAGUCAAUGUCUGGCUGGAGGUACAGAAAGCCCAGCUCUCAUUAAACAGCUGUUCCGCCGCCCUUCUCUAACGCAACCUGCCAGGAGCCGCAGGGUCAACGUGACCCCAGAAAGUGCCCCGUGAGGACCAGAGCCAGAGCUAGAUCCAGGAUAUCUCAUCUGCAGGUGUGGAGGAACGGGCUGCCAGACAGUCACGCAGUUUAUCUCCAGCGUG